rnacentral:lncRNA from 1 species
UUGUUCAUGGAAAAUCUAAGCUGUACCUAGCACCCCAGCCGCGAGGGGCCAUGACAGCAGCACUGAGCUACCUGCUAGAAGGAAGCUGGAGUUAGCACUUGGGAAUUCACUCCUGCCUCUUCAGUAAGGGAGUGUUGUGGACUAGUCUCACCUACGACGAGCUGGCAUAAAUUGUGAGCUUUUGAUUUAUGAAGUUUCCUAACAGAGGAACUAGAAAGCUGAUCUGUGGAAGGAAAGACUACACUGACCCCCCCCCUCCCCCCUUUGUCUGUGUUGGUUCUGUUUCCCACGGCUUUGAUGGAAUGCCUGUCAGAAACAAUCGCAGAGUCAAGGUCUGUCGGCUCACAGUUUCAGAGGGUGUUGUUCAGUCCUCAUAGCAGGAGAGACAUUGUGGAGCAGCAGCUUAGUGGCAG